CAAUGAAGUUGUUUCAUGAUCAUGAUCAUCAUCAAAACCUUUUCCUGCCAAUCCAUUGUUGUUUGGUUGUAUAUGGUUGUAACUAUACUGUAUUUUCAAACUAAAUACAGAUCGAAAAUUGGUAUUUAGUUUGACGCAUUUAAAUCCAUUGUAGCUGUGGGAACUACACGAGCAGAUUCAGUUGUAUUAAUAAGAAUUACGCCCAUAUUGACCAUAGUUCCUACUAUAAUAGUUUGGGAGAAUAUAUAAAGUAAUAAAAGUUUGUAACCUCAACUGCGUGUAACCAAAUAAAAUAAUUUAUAAUUGCAUCAUUUUCUAUUAUCUUUAAACUUGUAACUAAUACAUUUCUAACUCCAUGAAUAUUCAACUAUACUGUAUUUUUAUUUACAUCCAAUCAAACGACCCCUAUAAUUGGUUAAUUUAGGAGGGAUAUUUUUGGGAUAAGAGCCUAUGAAGAGCUUUA
rnacentral:lncRNA from 1 species